UCGACGUCGAGUCUAUCCUCCCGCCACCAUCGCCAACCUCAUGGGCUAUCAUUGCAGUGUCUCUGUAGCGUUGGGAAGGCUGCACACACUAUUAGAAGGGGAAGAAGGAGAGUAGAGAGGCUGCAUGCAGUUGCUGCCCCCCUAAAGAAACUCCAACGUGCAGUUUCCUUCUCUUCUAUUCCCGCUGGCAGAGAGGCGAGAAGAGGAAGAAGAGAACCCGCUCCUUCCGAUCUCUUUCGCCUGAAGAAAAAACAGAAGGGAGAAGCCUCUUUUCCUCUGUUCGAUGGAGAGCAAAGGGCUGUAGAAACAAACUUCUUGAGUUUGUUUACUUUUUCUGUUACAAUCUCUAUUCCUCUAGCAAUCUCUGUUCCCGCUGGUAGAGAGGCG
rnacentral:lncRNA from 1 species